GUUGGUAGGGUAAAGGCCUACCAAGGCGACGAUCGGUAGCUGGUCUGAGAGGAUGGCCAGCCACACUGGAACUGAGACACGGUCCAGACUCCUACGGGAGGCAGCAGUGGGGAAUAUUGGACAAUGGGGGCAACCCUGAUCCAGCAAUGCCGCGUGUGUGAAGAAGGCCUGAGGGUUGUAAAGCACUUUCAGUGGAGAGGAGGGAUGCUUGGUUAAGAGCUGAGUAUUUGGACGUUACCCACAGAAGAAGCACCGGCUAACUCCGUGCCAGCAGCCGCGGUAAUACGGAGGGUGCGAGCGUUAAUCGGAAUUACUGGGCGUAAAGGGUGC
rnacentral:rRNA from 1 species